rnacentral:lncRNA from 1 species
CCCUACAGUUUAAUAUGAAUUACCUCAAGCAGACAUUUGGAUCCGUGGGUCAGCAGCCUGUCUCAGGAGAGUGUUUGAUGAUGCCGUUUUAUUGUUUCAGAAGGUCAAGAUCUUCAAAGCUCUCCUUCUGUUCUCCACAGGGCACCCGGGCAGCAGCUGUCAGAAUACACUCGGCUUUGUGUUUAUGUGCGAGAGAAGAGAUGUGCCUUUGAUGAGUGAAUGCCUGACAAAGAUGGAGACAGACGAGAAAAGACAGAGACCCACUAGAAACCACAGUAGUCAAUGGCAUGCUUUACAAGAGACAAAACAUCGAACAAAAGGAAAAUAGGAUAAAGGAUGUAGUUGCUUCAAAGGUCUUACUGUAAGUGUAAUUUUCAAAAGGGCUGGGUUGCCCCCGUUCUGUAAUUAAGUU